rnacentral:lncRNA from 1 species
GAGCUUUGUUCUGACAGAGCAAGGAUCAUCAAUGUUGUCUCCAAUGCACCAGAAGGGAGCUGGUUUACACCAAGACCUUGUUUUAAAGUUUUCUGUGAUCAACUUAUCUUCUCCUGUCUAAUAUAAAAGAUCAUCUUUGCAUAAGGGGACACUGUGUCAGGACUGUUCGUCCACAUCUGUGUCACUGGACAAGGAGCACCCAGCUGCUGUUUCACAACAUACCCCGCCCCAACAGUUCAUCAGAGCCGCCCAUUUCCCCAGGGAGUGGACUGCGCCAUACCUUCCACCAGCACUUGUACCAAUUCCCAG